AAGUCGUAACAAGGUUUCCGUAGGUGAACCUGCGGAAGGAUCAUUAUCGAGAAGGGGGCUUCGCGCUCCCGGGGGCUUGCGGCCCACCACUCUUCACCCAUUGUCAAUUUACCCUCGUUGCUUUGGCGGUAUUCCGGGGGUAUGUCUUGCGCACCCGCGCGAGAUGUGCCCCGGCGCCCGCCGGCAGGCCCAGUUCAAAAUUACUGUUUAUCAGUGAUGUCCGAGUCAAAAAAUCCAAUAAUAAAAAC
rnacentral:misc_RNA from 1 species